UUCAUUUUGAUUGUUAUAAGGGCAUGGUAUAGAUCUUCCAAAUCUCAACACCCAAAAAAGAUUUUCAUUCCUCUUCUCUCCCUUCACUUCCCAAAUCCCAUCCCCUUCUCUAAUUCCCACAAAGGACAAAGCUAUAUACCUAAUUUCCUAAAUAGACACUCUCCUAUACUCCUAUUUAUAUUCCUCUUUCUCAUUUCUCUCUCUUUUUUUUCUCUUUGAGAGACACAUAAAAACUGGGUCUUUGGCUGCAUGAAUUGAUUUGAUAGCCAAGUAAAAGUCUUCCUUUUUUCUUUUUUGCCUUGGUUGACUCAAGAAAAAGAAAAGGUUGCAACCUUUUUUUGUUUACUAGGGCGUUUGUAGGGUUUAGAGAGAAUUGAAAAAAAAUGGGAGUUUGGGUGUUUGUGUGUGUUAUUUUAGGUUGGUUUUUGUUGAAGAAGAAGAAGAAGAUUGUUGAGAACAAAGAUGGAAUUCCUAAAGGGAAUUUGGGUUGGCCUUUCUUUGGUGAAACUCUUCAAUUCAUUUCUUCUGGCUAUUCUUCUCGUCCUGUCACCUUCAUGGACAAACGCAAAUCUCUGUAUGGGAAUGUGUUUAAAACCAACAUUUUGGGGACACCCAUAAUAGUAUCAACUGAUUCAGAGGUGAAUAAGGUUAUCUUACAAAACCAUGGGAAUAUAUUUACCCCAGCUUACCCAAAAUCAAUAACAGAACUACUUGGUACAUAUUCAAUUCUAAGAAUGAAAGGAAAUGUUCAAAGAAGACUUCAUACAAUCAUUGGAGCCUUCCUUAGGUCUCCUCAACUCAAAGCCCAAAUCACUAAAGAUAUUCAAAAUACUGUUCAACUUAGACUUGCUAACUGGAAUAACUCUCAAUUGCAUCUUCAAACUGAAGCCAAACAGAUCACAUUUGAAGUAUUGGUGAAGGUGUUGAUGAGCGUGGGACCUGGUAAAGAAUUGGAGACUUUAAAAAGGGAAUUUGAGGAGUUUAUUAAAGCUUUGAUUUGUAUACCUAUUAAAUUACCUGGAACUAGGCUAUAUAAAUCUUUGAAGGCCAGAGAGAAGUUGUUGAAAAUUGUGGGGAAGAUUGUGGAAGAAAGGAAAUCGAUGGUGGGGGAGAAGGGUGCACCGAGAGAUGCGGUGGACGUGCUCUUACAGGAUCACAACGAGAACCAAGGGCUACCCCUGGAUUUCAUCAGCAGUCACAUCAUAGAGCUGAUGAUCCCCGGGGAGGAAACGGUACCGACGGCCAUGACUCUCGCCGUUAAAUUUCUCAGUGAUUGUCCCCGCGCUCUUGCCCAAUUAAAGGAAGAGAAUAUGAAACUGAAGAAGGAGAAGGAUGGAUCUGGGGAGGAGUAUACGUGGACAGAUUACAUGUCUUUGCAAUUUACUCAAAAUGUAAUUAGUGAAACAUUAAGAAUGGCUAAUAUCGUCAAUGGAGUUUGGAGAAAAGCUCAAAAAGACGUGAAAAUCAAAGGAUAUUUAAUACCGCAAGGAUGGUGCGUCCUGGCAUCCUUUAUUUCAGUUCAUAUGGAUGAAAAGAACUAUGCAAACCCACAUGAGUUUGAUCCGUGGAGAUGGGAGGUACAAUAAGAGAGUGGAAAAUGAAAAUUUGUCUGCUACAAACAACCAUAACUUUACACCUUUUGGAGGGGGACAGAGGCUAUGUCCUGGCGUCGAACUAACCAGGCUCGAAAUCUCAAUUUUCCUUCAUCAUCUUGUCACGACCUACAGAUGGGAAGCUGAAAAGGAUUAUAUCAUCAAUUUUCCGACAGUCAAGAUGAGAAGGAAGCUGCCAAUCACAGUCACAACCUUAAGUUCUUGAUUGGAUUCAAUCAUCUCAACAACUUUGAUACCGAGCAGUCGAGGAAAUAAGGCGAAAAAAAUUUGCCACACACAUAUGUAAAUGUAUUAAAUGACCCAAGUUUUUUUUAUUAUACAGCUAGACAGACCCACGAGGGGUCCUCUCUUUUAAACCAUAACUGUACUAAUACAGGAAUUCCAGUUUUACUUUACAUGGAGCUCUACUCUUACCAUUCUGAAUUA